rnacentral:rRNA from 1 species
AGUGAACGCUGGCGGCAGGCCUAACACAUGCAAGUCGAACGACAGCACAGUAAGAUCGUGCCCUUACGGGUAGCGAGUGGCGGACGGGUGAGGAGUACAUCGCAAUCUACUAUUUCGUGGGGGACAACGUAGGGAAGCAUACGCUAAUAGAGCAUACGUCCUACGGGAGAAAUCAGUGGAGAUAGGUACCUUGGGUGAUAGUAUUAGACGAUGUCGGAUUAGCUAGUUGGCGUGGUAAAGGCACACCAAGGCGACGAUCCGUAGCUGAACUGAGAGGAUGAUCAGCCACACUGGAACUGAGACACGGUCCAGACUCCUACGGGAGGCAGCAGUAGGGAAUAUUCGGCAAUGGGCGAAAGCCUGAUCGAGCCACGCCGCGUGAGUGAUGAAGGCCUUCGGAUUGUAAAGCCCUUUUGUUAGGAAAGAAAAGCAGUAUAUGAAUACCUCGCUGUUCUGACGGUACCCAAUCAGAAAGCACCGGCUAACUUCGUG